CUUGGUCAUUUAGAGGAAGUAAAAGUCGUAACAAGGUUUCCGUAGGUGAACCUGCGGAAGGAUCAUUAAUGAAACAAACCGGGGGCGGUGGGGCGUGGCCUCGCACCGGCGGAGACGCCGUGUCGCGGGCUCGCUCCGCCCCCUCAUCCACAACCCACACACAUGUGCACCAUAGGGACGGCGGGUGGAUAACGCACGUCGUCUCGCUUUACAAGCUCUAAAGUCUAUUUUGAAUGUCAUUUUAUUCGGGCUAGUACCGAUGUAUUAAACAUAACAACUUUCAACAACGGAUCUCUUGGCUCUCGCAUCGAUGAAGAACGCAGCGAAAUGCGAUAAGUAAUGUGAAUUGCAGAAUUCAGUGAAUCAUCGAAUCUUUGAACGCACCUUGCGCCCAUUGGUAUUCCGAUGGGCAUGCCUGUUUGAGUGUCUUGAAAUCAUCAAGCCCGUUCGGUUUCACCGCCGAGCGCGUGGCUUGGACUUGGGGGCUUGCCGCUUCGCCGCGGCUCCCCUUAAAUGCAUCGGUUUCGGGUCUCUGUGGGAGUAACCCCUUGGGCGUUGUAUAACCCUCGCCGUCUGGGAACUCCUCGCGACGUUCGCGUCGUCGAAGGGCCUUGAAGGAACCUCGACCUGCUGUAGAGCGGCGGUCAAUGUUAAAUCGAGAUUUGACCUCAAAUCAGGUAGGACUACCCGCUGAACUUAAGCAUAUCAAUAAGCGGAGGAAAAGAAACUAACAAGGAUUCCCCUAGUAACUGCGAGUGAAGCGGGAAAAGCUCAAAUUUGAAAUCUGGCGUCUCCGGCGUCCGAGUUGUAUUCUGGAGAAGCGUUUUCCGUGCUGGACCGUGUACAAGUCCCUUGGAACAGGGCGUCAUAGAGGGUGAGAAUCCCGUCUUUGACACGGACUGCCAGUGCUCUGCGAUGCGCUCUCGAAGAGUCGAGUUGUUUGGGAAUGCAGCUCAAAACGGGUGGUAAAUUCCAUCUAAAGCUAAAUAUUGGCGAGAGACCGAUAGCGAACAAGUACCGUGAGGGAAAGAUGAAAAGCACUUUGGAAAGAGAGUGAAACAGUACGUGAAAUUGUUGAAAGGGAAACGCUUGUAGUCAGUCGCGUCGACCGAGACUCAGCCUUGCCUUGGCUUGGUGUACUUCUCGGCUGACGGGUCAGCAUCAAUUUUGCCCCUUGGAUAAUGGCGAGGGAAAUGUGACACCUUUGCGGUGUGUUAUAGUCUCUUGUCGCAUGCAAGGGUUGGGAUUGAGGAACUCAGCACGCGCCUUUGGGCGUCGGGGCUUUGCCCACGAUACGUGCUUAGGAUGUUGGCGUAAUGGCUUUAAACGACCCGUCUUGAAACACGGACC
rnacentral:rRNA from 1 species